UAACUUUAGGUGUAUUGCACGAAAAAUUUUGAAUUUUUAAGAAAUAAUUAAAUUUAUUAAAGUUAA
rnacentral:tRNA from 1 species